rnacentral:rRNA from 1 species
AUGGAUCCCAGUCCCCACCGGCGGAAUCGAAUGGAUUGCAUGACCGACUACAAGAUCUACGACGCCUUGGAUCUGCAGGCAUGCCUAGCUUCCUUCUGCUGCCCACUCCCCGAUGACCUGCGGAACUUGCCCUCUCUUUAUCCCAAGGCCGACGGCCUCUCCGACGAGCAACUCAAGCCGGAAUAUGACGCCAUGCUAUCUGACGGCGGUCCCUCGCGCUUGGAGGUUGUCUACUACCCGCCAGGCCACCCAGAACGCCGGUUCCUGGAAAAAAUGAGAAAACGCCUAGAUGAUGAUGACGAGUAUGACAGACGCGUGGCAAAAAUGAGAAAAUACCAACAUGAGGACCAGCCUGACCAGCAUGACGGAGCCGCAACCAAGGUGGUGCUGCUGACUCAGAUGCUCUCAUCCGACGACCACAUCGAGGACGAGGACUUCUACCAUGACUUCCUGCAGGAUGUCACGAAUUCCGCGCGCAAAUACGGCAACCUGGUGAGGGUUGUCAUCCCACGGCCCAGCUCUGGCGGCGCUCCGGAGGUUGUUGGAGUCGGAAGGGUGUUCCUUGAGUACUCGCUCCUUGAAGGCUCGGCCAGUUGCAGGAGGAACAUGCAUCGCGGUUGCUGGGGUGAUAAGCGGAUUGUUGCAGUGUUCUAUCCCGAGGACAAGUUUGCUGCUGGAGACUACGGCUACGAUGGUGGAGACUACCCUUAA